rnacentral:rRNA from 1 species
UGAGUACGAGACGCUAAGGCGUUGAAGCAGUCUAUGUCAGACUUCCAAGAAAAGCUCGCAAUGUCAUAAGCAAAAAAUGCCUGUACCAUAACCGACACAGGUGGGUAGGUAGAGUAUACUAAGGGGCGCGAGAUAACUCUCUCUAAGGAACUCGGCAAAAUGACUCCGUAACUUCGGGAGAAGGAGUGCCUUAUUUUUAUAAGGUUGCAAUAACAAGAUCCAAGCAACUGUUUACCAAAAACACAGGUCUCCGCUAAGUCGUAAGACGAUGUAUGGGGGCUGACGCCUGCCCAGUGCCAGAAGGUUAAAGAAGUUGGUUAGUUUCGGCGAAGCUGAUGACUGAAGCCCUGGUGAACGGCGGCCGUAACGAUAACGGUCCUAAGGUAGCGAAAUUCCUUGUCGGGUAAGUUCCGACCCGCACGAAAGGCGUAAUGAUUUGGAUACUGUCUCGGAGAGGGGCUCGGUGAAAUAGACUUGUCUGUGAAGAUGCGGACUACCUGCACCUGGACAGAAAGACCCUAUGAAGCUUUACUGUAACUUGAGAUUGAAAUUGGACUUUAUUUGCGCAGUAUAGGUGGGAGACGUCGAGAAUAUUCUUGCGGGAAUAUUGGAGUCAUCAGUGAGAUACCACUCUUGUAAUGUUAGAUUUCUAACUUUGUAUCAUUAUCUGGUCAAAGGACAGUUUCAGGCGGGCAGUUUGACUGGGGCGGUCGCCUCCCAAACGGUAACGGAGGCGCACAAAGGUUUCCUCUGAACGUGUAGAAAUCGUAUCUAGAGUGUAAAGGCAUAAGGAAGCUUGACUGUGAGACCUACAAGUCGAGCAGGGACGAAAGUCGGUCUUAGUGAUCUGACGGUGCUGAGUGGAAAGGCCGUCACUCAACGGAUAAAAGUUACUCUAGGAUAACAGGCUGAUCUCCCCCAAGAGUUCACAUCGACGGGGAGGUUUGGCACCUCGAUGUCGGCUCAUCGCAUCCUGGGGCGGUAGUACGUCCCGAGGGUUGGGCUGUUCGCCCAUGAAAGCGGUACGCGAGCUGGGUUCAGAACGUCGUGAGACAGUUCGGUCCAUAUCCGGUGUAGGCGUUAGAAUAUUGAGAGGAGCCUUCUUUAGUACGAGAGGACCGAGAAGGACAUACCUCUGGUGUACCAGUUAUCGUGCCAACGGUAAACGCUGGGUAGCUAUGUAUGGAGUGGAUAACCGCUGAAAGCAUCUAAGUGGGAAGCCCACCUCAAGAUAAGUAUUCUCAC